CACAAGACAGGGAUAACUACCGGAAACGGUAGCUAAUACCCGAUACAUCCUUUUCCUGCAUGGGCGAAGGAGGAAAGACGGAGCAAUCUGUCACUUGUGGAUGGGCCUGCGGCGCAUUAGCUAGUUGGUGGGGUAAAGGCCUACCAAGGCGACGAUGCGUAGCCGACCUGAGAGGGUGAUCGGCCACACUGGGACUGAGACACGGCCCAGACUCCUACGGGAGGCAGCAGUAGGGAAUCUUCCGCAAUGGGCGAAAGCCUGACGGAGCAACGCCGCGUGAGUGAUGAAGGUUUUCGGAUCGUAAAGCUCUGUUGCCAGGGAAGAACGUCUUGUAGAGUAACUGCUACAAGAGUGACGGUACCUGAGAAGAAAGCCCCGGCUAACUACGUGCCAGCAGCCGCGGUAAUACGUAGGGGGCAAGCGUUGUCCGGAAUUAUUGGGCGUAAAGCGCGCGCAGGCGGCUCUUUAAGUCUGGUGUUUAAUCCCGAGGCUCAACUUCGGGUCGCACUGGAAACUGGGGAGCUUGAGUGCAGAAGAGGAGAGUGGAAUUCCACGUGUAGCGGUGAAAUGCGUAGAGAUGUGGAGGAA
rnacentral:rRNA from 1 species